rnacentral:lncRNA from 1 species
UUAAUGUGAACAUGAAGUUUUUUUUUUUUUUGAGAGAGAGAGAAAGAUAACAUGCUAUUCGUUUCGUUUAUUUUUUUAGAAAUAAACUCAACUGAAAAAAUGAAGUAAUCAGGUUUCGAACUUAAAAUCUCGGAUACCAACCACUAAGUUCUUUGUCAUUUGUGCUAUAGGCGGUUAGUUGAAAGAAGUUAAAUGCGAUGAUCGGUGAAUUUGUUUAGUUGAAAAAUCUUUUGGACUUUCUCUUUAAAAAAAAUAAAAAAAGAAACUGUCGGUUUGGAAUAUGGAAAUUGAAAUGACCAUCGUCCAUGAAAAAGUCUAAAAUGUAAUUGUUAUAUAGAGUUAUGCAAUGUUUCCAACCAAUUAAUCAAAUUAUUUCUUGGAAGUUUAUGUAUUCCAUCAUAUUUUUUCAAAAUUUAUUUCUAUUAUAUUUUUCUUUCAAAAAAAUAUAUAAUUGACUAAUUAUAGAUAAUGUGGUAUAGCUGUUAUAUAGUAGACUUUCUCGUCUCCAUGCUACGUACAAGC